GUGCUUGCUUCGGCAGCACAGAUACUAAAACUGGAACGAUACAGAGAUCAACAUGAUCCCUGGGCAAGGAUGACACGCAAAUUCGUGAAGCAUUUCAUAAUUAC
ensembl:snRNA U6 U6 spliceosomal RNA